AAAAAAAACACUUAUCUUUCUCAAGACCAUACUCAAACAGAUAUACUUUCUUACUUUCUUUCAAACCAUUUUCCCUCAAAACUUAUCAUUACCCAUUUUAAUCCUCUCAAAUCCAAACACAUAAAACAGAUGGUGGCUGGGAAUUUCCUCUCUACCUUUCUGUUGUUCUGCAAAAAAAAAAAAAAUUUCAGACAAAAAAACAAUAUUUUUCAGAUUAUAAAUUUCGCGAUUUUUGUUCAAGCUUGUGUUAUUGUUGUGGAAAUUUUUUGUUUAUGGACAUGGAUCUGUGUAAUCAUGAUUUGCGAUUGGAUUAUAGUUGUUUUAGAUUCAGCUUAUUCAGGUAAGAAGUUAAGUUGCCUGUGA